rnacentral:rRNA from 1 species
CCUACGGGGGGCAGCAGUGAGGAAUAUUGGUCAAUGGACGCAAGUCUGAACCAGCCAUGCCGCGUGCAGGAAGACGGCUCUAUGAGUUGUAAACUGCUUUUGUACGAGGGUAAACGCAGAUACGCGUAUCUUUCUGAAAGUAUCGUACGAAUAAGGAUCGGCUAACUCCGUGCCAGCAGCCGCGGUAAUACGGAGGAUUCAAGCGUUAUCCGGAUUUAUUGGGUUUAAAGGGUGCGUAGGCGGUCGGAUAAGUUAGAGGUGAAAUCCUGAGGCUAAACUUCGGAAUUGCAUCUGAUACUGUUCGGCUAGAGAGUAGUUGCGGUAGGCGGAAUGUAUGGUGUAGCGGUGAAAUGCUUAGAGAUCAUACAGAACACCGAUUGCGAAGGCAGCUUACCAAGCUACUUCUGACGUUGGGGCACGAAAGCGUGGGGAGCAAACAGGAUUAGAUACCCCGUAGUC